rnacentral:rRNA from 1 species
UACAGAGGUCCCAAGCGUUGUUCGGAUUCACUGGGCGUAAAGGGUGCGUAGGUGGCGGGGUAAGUCGGAUGUGAAAUCUCCGAGCUCAACUCGGAAACUGCAUUGGAAACUACCUUGCUUGAGGGUUGGAGGGGGGACUGGAAUACUUGGUGUAGCAGUGAAAUGCGUAGAUAUCAAGUGGAACACCAGUGGCGAAGGCGAGUCCCUGGACAACUCCUGACACUGAGGCACGAAAGCUAGGGGAGCAAACAGG